rnacentral:rRNA from 1 species
AUUGAACGCUGGCGGCAUGCCUUACACAUGCAAGUCGAACGGUAACAGGUUAAGCUGACGAGUGGCGAACGGGUGAGUAAUGUAUCGGAACGUGCCCAGUCGUGGGGGAUAACUGCUCGAAAGAGCAGCUAAUAUCGCAUACGACCUGAGGGUGAAAGCGGGGGAUCGCAAGACCUCGCGCGAUUGGAGCGGCCGAUAUCAGAUUAGGUAGUUGGUGAGGUAAAGGCUCACCAAGCCGACGAUCUGUAGCUGGUCUGAGAGGACGACCAGCCACACUGGGACUGAGACACGGCCCAGACUCCUACGGGAGGCAGCAGUGGGGAAUUUUGGACAAUGGGCGCAAGCCUGAUCCAGCCAUGCCGCGUGCGGGAAGAAGGCCUUCGGGUUGUAAACCGCUUUUGUCAGGGAAGAAAAGGUUCUGGCUAAUACCUGGGACUCAUGACGGUACCUGAAGAAUAAGCACCGGCUAACUACGUG